CCUACGGGAGGCAGCAGUGAGGAAUAUUGGUCAAUGGACGAGAGUCUGAACCAGCCAAGCAGCGUGAAGGAUGACUGCCCUAUGGGUUGUAAACUUCUUUUAUAUGGGAAUAAAAUGUUCCACGUGUGGGAUUUUGUAUGUACCAUAUGAAUAAGGAUCGGCUAACUCCGUGCCAGCAGCCGCGGUAAUACGGAGGAUCCGAGCGUUAUCCGGAUUUAUUGGGUUUAAAGGGAGCGUAGGUGGAUUGUUAAGUCAGUUGUGAAAGUUUGCGGCUCAACCUUAGAAUUGCAGUUGAAACUGGCAGUCUUGAGUACAGUAGAGGGGGGCGGAAUUCGUGGUGUAGCGGUGAAAUGCUUAGAGAUCACGAAGAACACCGAUUGCGAAGGCAGUUCACUGGACUGCAACUGACGCUGAGGCUCGAAAGUGUGGGUAUCAAACAGGAUUAGAUACCCGAGUAGUC
rnacentral:rRNA from 1 species